GCCUCUCCUAUGAAGUGCCCUACUGCAUUCUAUGAAGCAGUUGGUGCUGGAUUUGUUUUCAAGAAGGUAUGUCUUGGUCUUUGACCUUUCAUAUUAAUCUGAACACAAUGCUGAUUCAUGGCUUUUGUUUGUAACUUUUGAAAAAAACUGAAAGAGUUCAAGAAUCUGAAGGUUCUUAGUGAAGGCUUGUUAUGGAUGGUUUCGUCAUGAAUCCCGAAUGGACAGAAGCUUAAGGUU